ACGAACGCUGGCGGCGUGCCUAACACAUGCAAGUCGAGGGAGAAAAGGGGCUUCGGCUCCCGAGUAAACCGGCGCACGGGUGAGUAACACGUAGGUAACGUACCUUGGAGUCCGGGAUAACCAGUCGAAAGAUUGGCUAAUACCGGAUACGACUGCAGCAGCUCUGGCUGCAGCAGUGAAAGAUGGCCUCUGUUUACAAGCUAUCACUCCUGGAUCGGCCUGCGCACCAUUAGCUAGUUGGUGAGGUAAUGGCUCACCAAGGCUGAGAUGGUUAGCUGGUCUGAGAGGAUGGCCAGCCACACUGGGACUGAGACACGGCCCAGACUCCUACGGGAGGCAGCAGUGGGGAAUAUUGCGCAAUGGGCGAAAGCCUGACGCAGCGACGCCGCGUGGGUGAUGAAGGCCUUCGGGUCGUAAAGCCCUGUC
rnacentral:rRNA from 1 species